ACUUUUCAUUCGUUGGGAGGUCUAAGCAACGUCUUCAGAAAUUCGAGGUGGUAUCAGAUCAGUCCAUCAGUAGUAUUUAUUGAGGACCUAUGGAGUGCUAACAACUAAGCUCGUAUAGUAAGAGUAUCCCACCUGCUCUAGAUGCUUCGACCCUCAAAAGCAACUCCCCUCGUCGUUUGUUCCAAGCAAGUUUAGUCGCAGUGAAGAACCUUCGAAGACUGCUGGGUUCCCGACCUUUGGAGUUUUGCUUCAAGGCAGCCCCGAAAAGGGCGCUCGCUGGACCUCCGAAGUACCCAUCCCUUCUCAGGAGGUCGCAAGGAGCCCAAGGGCACGAAGUUUCGCAGUCAUUCUGGGGAAAAACAAGCGACGGUGCCUUUCAGACGAUUAAUAACAAAACUCUCGGUUUUGUUGGGGCAUAAAAAUUUUCGACCGGGAAGGAAAGUUGUGACCAGGAGUGAAAAUAAAUGAAAAUACGUGAAAAUAAA